GAAGUCGGCUAGACAGCCGCUGCGCACGUCACCAAGCGUGUGUAGAGGAAAGUCCGGGCUCCAAAGAGCAGGAUGCCGGUUAACGGCCGGGCGCCGUGAGGCGACGGAAAGUGCCACAGAAAAUACACCGCCGAAGCCCUCCCGGGCUGGCAAGGGUGAAAUGGUGCGGUAAGAGCGCACCGCGUUCGUGGCAACACGAACGGCAGGGUAAACCCCAUCCGGAGCAAGACCGCGUAGGGGGCGAUAGCGUGGCUCGCGCUGCCCUCGGGUAGGUCGCUGGAGCGUGCGGGUAACCGUACGCCAAGAGGAAUGGCUGUCCGCGACAGAACCCGGCUUACCGGCCGGCUUCCCCC
rnacentral:RNase_P_RNA from 1 species